AAUCAACGCUGGCGGCGUGCCUCAGACAUGCAAGUCGAACGAUUAAAGCUCUCUUCGGAGAGUGCAUAGAGUGGCGCACGGGUGAGUAACACGUAAGUAAUCUACCUUCGAGUGGGGAAUAACGUCCGGAAACGGACGCUAAUACCGCAUAAUGCAGCGGCAUCGCAAGAUGACAGUUGUUAAAGGAGCAAUUCGCUUGAAGAGGAGCUUGCGGCAGAUUAGCUAGUUGGUAAGGUAAUGGCUUACCAAGGCUACGAUCUGUAACCGGUCUAAGAGGACGGUCGGUCACACUGACACUGAAUAACGGGUCAGACUCCUACGGGAGGCAGCAGUCGGGAAUUUUGGGCAAUGGGCGAAAG
rnacentral:rRNA from 1 species